CCUACGGGUUGCUGCAGUGGGGAAUAUUGGGCAAUGGGCGCAAGCCUGACCCAGCAACGCCGCGUGAAGGAAGAAGGCUUUCGGGUUGUAGACUUCUUUUAUCAGGGACGAAGAAAGUGACGGUACCUGAGGAAUAAGCCACGGUUAACUACGUGCCAGCAGCCGCGGUAAUACGUAGGGGGCAAGCGUUAUCCGGAGUUAUUGGGUGUAAAGGGCGUGGAGGCGGGGGCGAAAGUCAGAUGUGAAAUCUGAGGGCGUAACCCUGGGCCUGCAUUUGAAACUGUGUGUCUUGAGUGCUGGAGAGGCAAUCAGAAUUCCGUGUGUAGCGGUGAAAUGCGUAGAUAUACGGAGGAACACCAGUGGCGAAGGCGGAUUGCUGGACAGUAACUGACGCUGAGGCGCGAAAGCGUGGGGAGCAAACAGGAUUAGAUACCCCGGUAGUC
rnacentral:rRNA from 1 species